AGGACAAACGCUGGCGGCGUACCUAAGACAUGCAAGUCGAACGGAUUGCGUAUCUUCGGAUGUGCAGUGAGUGGCGAACGGGUGAGUAACGCGUAGGAACCCGCCUCGACGUGGGGGAUAACACUUGGAAACAGGUGCUAAUACCGCAUGUGGUCGAGAGAAGAAAGGCUUGAGCAAUCAAGUCGCGUUGAGAGGGGCCUGCGUCCGAUUAGCUAGUUGGUGGGGUAACGGCUUACCAAGGCGACGAUCGGUAGCUGGU
rnacentral:rRNA from 1 species